rnacentral:rRNA from 1 species
GACAGAGGUCCCGAGCGUUAGGCGGAAUCACUGGGCUUAAAGCGUGUGUAGGCGGAUUUGUAAGUACCUUGUGAAAUCCCACGGCUCAACCGUGGAACUGCUUGGUAUACUGCUUAUCUUGGGCCACUUAGGGGUUACCGGAACAAACGGUGGAGCGGUGAAAUGCGUAGAUAUCGCCUGGAACGCCGACGGUGAAAACAGAUGACUGGGGGUGUGCCGACGCUGAGACACGAAAGCCAGGGGAGCGAACGGG